ACAGCUGAGGAGGUUAAAAACAGAUCCUGAUUUAUUUGGUUCCUGGAUAUGCACAAGGAAACUCAGUGGGGAUGCUGGAUGACCCAUAGAAUUGCUGGACCAGAAAGAAGCAUGACUUUCCCAUGGGACAUCCAAAAACCUAUGAACCUUCCCAGACGGAGUCUCGCUCUGUUGCCCAGGCCAGAGUGCAGUGGCAAGAUCUCGGCUCACGGCAAGCUCCACCUCGCGGGUUCACUCCAUUCUCCUGCCUCAGCCUCCCGAGUAGCUGGGACUACAGGUGCCCGCCACCACACUCGGAUAAUUUUUUUGUAUUUUUAGUAGAGACAGGGUUUCACCGUGUUAGCCAGGAUGGUCUCAAUCUCCUGACCUCGUGAUCUGCCCGUCUCAGCCUCCCAAAGUACUGGGAUUAUAGGCGUGAGCAACUGCGCCUGGCCCCAGGCAUUUUAUUUCUUAGAAAUAAAGUAACAUAAAUUAUGUGUCUGUUUCUUCACAUUUGUCUCUAGGGACUUUAUAUGCCCAAACAGAUGAGCUCAAAUAGAGCAGUACAUGACUCAAAGGAAUUCUGCCAAAUCCACUUUCUCAGUUUUGAGUUGCAGAUAUGGGAUUAUAAGCACCAGAUAAACAUUAGCUCUCCAGCAGCAAAAAGAAACAAAACCUUUCCUUGGACGGGAUG